AUUUGGCCCAGCACAUAAGCUGCAAGAGGUCUUUAAUCAGCACUUGAGCUGCGCGCCUUUGACAGUGACGCAGGGGCGCUGCUGUGGACUCGUGCACGUGGCGCGACGCCGCAUCCCACGCGUACCACUCAGAAAUGUUUACGUGCGAAAUAAUGGGCUUUCGGUGUGGUUUCGCAGCUAUUGUGCUUUCUGUAAAUCAAAGCGUGUCACUGCCCGGUGUCCCGUUCCAAAGUGCAAGACAAACACCAGCCUCGGCGGAGCGAGGAGGACGCAAAGAGCCGGUAAUCGGAGGCGGGGAUCACGGAACGAACAGCAGGAAGAACAGGAGGCAGAGCCACGGUGGGAGAGUGAGAUAUGAAGCGAUCACAAGUCAUGCGACAAAAAUGACGUGCGAUGCAAUUACAGUUCAUGGAUCAACGGCGGAAACCCUCUGAUCAAUCAGAAUGCUGAGGAGCAAAUGUUGAGUUCUCAUGAACAUGCUGCCAGAGACCAAGGAUUGUGCUCUUAGCCCUGCUGGCCCAUAACGGCCCACUGGAACUGCAGUCACACUGACGCCAGUGAUGGACCUCCAUCGAUCAUUCGCCUGAUGUCAUGUGCCCCGGAGCCUGGGGACCCUCCAGGAAGCCGCCUUGCCCAUUUCCACUCAGCGGACGCCACCUCGAACGUCACUGCAUGUACUCGACCCGAGAUCUGCUCCAUUAUCGCCCCCGCCCCCCUUUGUUCCUUUAUGACUAAGGGGGGCACUGAGUGAAUAUUCCUCCCAAUACGAACCACCAGUACAAGAAACCCAACUGAAUGGCUUAGCUGGAGAUCAGGCAUAGCUGUGACAGCCGUUACACACGAUGGACCCCCCCCCCCUCUUCGCUUUCGACGCUGGGGCUCUGUGGCCAGCGUAUGUGACGGCUCAUCUGGAGAACAUGUUCUGCUGCGAUCGGACUCCACGUACUACAGAGGCUUGACGGGUGUCGUGGGGCAGCUUGAACGACUGGCCCUUACUUGAACCUUAUUCCGUGACCAUCAGUAAAGCACCAUGAAGUUACCUGAGGGAUGUUUCUGCAAACUUGGCAAAUUUCUUUAAAUGUUUAAAUGGCUGCUUUGGGUGCCUUUUGCACUUAAAUCCCAAAUUCUUGUGGAAAUCACGGUUCACCGAAAAAGCCAAAUCCAAAUUUUUGCCCUUUUGAACAUGCUCUUGGGGGGAAUACAAUUCCUUUUGCUCACGCGUUCUUGCAAAGUCAUGUGACCUUUCUUUGCCCUCUUCUGCGGCUCAGGCCUAUUAAACUGCUUCCAUAUC